ensembl:lncRNA
CUCCUUUUGUAGUUUUAAAUACUGAUUUAAUAUUUAUUUGUCGCCGUCAUGGCUAUAAUAAUGCUUCUCCGCCGAGCCGCUUCUUCUUCGGCUUUUGUCAUGGUACUGCGGGUUACACCAGCAACACCAACAACAUGCCCGUGGACACCGCAGACUAGCGGUUUGCAUGUGUACUGCACGUCGACGCGGACAACGACGCAGAAGUAUAAAUUAAAACUGACGCAUAGCCUACGGCGUAAAGGCUACGGCGUAGGUCCGACGCAGAAGUAUAAAUCAGCCUUAAGUGCCCUGAGAGGCAUUUUCAUGAGCGAUUUUCAGGAUUGGUUCCCGGUAUUGAGGCAGAACGAUUUGGUGGACUUCGUUAGGGGAGGAAUGAGCAAUGGGUCUCUAAUGGUGCAUUAGAACAUCCCCUUUCCAAAAGUAUUUAACUUUUUCGGGCAAUUCACUUUUGAUAUUUGAAACAGACUCAAUACAACAGGCCAGAGAAGAAUCGGCCCUCUGAGCAGAAAUUAACUGCGCUCUGCCCAUUUGAAGUAUGGGCUGCAGCUCAAUAGCAGCAACUGUUUCACAGGGCUCUGCAGCAUUCGCUUUCACUGGCUUUGUCUCAUGUACUUCAAAGUCAAUUGAGAAACUUUCAGAGAGAUCAUUUACAUCAAACUUCUUUCUCUGGGCACGCGUCACUGCGCAUGCAGGAAAGACAGCCGGAAAGUUUUGCACAAACAAUGAAUAAUCAUUUUGAUUUGGGUUGUUGCUCACCAAAGGUCUAGGAAAAACAUCUCCUCCCGCAUGAUAAUUUCCUAGAAUAAGGUUGACGCCUUCAACGGGUAAUUGUGCACAAACGGCAAAUGUUACAGGACCUGUGAUCAAGCCAGACUUGAGGUACAGAUCAUGUAAUGGCAGGUUAAGACAUCCACUACCUAUUCCACACACUAGAACAUUAGCUCCAGUGUAUUCCGCAGCAGGAGGCAACACUUUCUCACAAAUUAGCAAUUGGACUGACCCAGUGUCUCUCAAAAUCUUCACUGACUUCCCUACUUUAUCAGGUGAAAGAGACACAGUGUCAUCCAACAAGAAUGGCUGAUACACACUAGUAAUAGUGUCUGCGCUACAAUUAACAUUACCCAGUGUGUGCACAAAAGCUGCAGUUUUGGGCUGCACACCAGCCAUUUUCUGUACAAAUUCAUCAGCCAACACCGCAGCGUCAUUAACAGAGGUGACUUUGUUCAUUGAGGUGAACUGCCACACUUUCAGGUAAGCAAUUUCUGAAUUCCUCAAGCAGAAUUAGCUCUUGAAGUUGAUCAAAUGUGGCAACUAGAAAGGCACCAUUUCUCAAAAAGUGCGCACUUCUCUCAUGCGAACUCGACAUAAGUCUGUUUGGCAGUUUUGGCAUGGUAACGGAAUUGCUGUCUAUAUGCCUCAGGGACAAGCUCAUAUGCCCUUAAUACAGCAGCUUUUACUGUGUCAUAGUCAAGAGACUGUUCUAAUGGUAAGGCAGAAUAAACCUCUUGGGCCUUGCCAGAAAGACUGCACUGCAGUAGCAGAGCCCAGACAUCCUUAGUCCAGUGCAGCUUCAUGGCGAUACACUCAAAUGUAACAAAUUAUCUAACUCACUUUCUCUGAAUGGGGGAAGCAAUUUCAGAUACUUGCUAACAUCAAAGUUCACACCAGCAUCAGCUUCAUGUGAAUUCUGAGGUGUCGCAGGUGCGGCAUAGGAUGGAGAGCUAACAUAAGGGCCUCGUGAACGGGGCAAAGAUCAAGCUCUUUCAUCUUGAUAGCUAACACUGGGUCAAUAGAAGACUCUACAGCAGGGACUAUGGGAAGGCCGCCACCCGACAUAGCUCUACCUGGUACAUCAGGUGAACCGUCCUCCUCCCCUCCAUCAGAAUAUUCUGGAAGAAUCCCCAUCUCUAUGAGUGCAUCAUUCAACGUUUGUUUAACAACUCACUUCGUCGUACCCCUAGACACAUUAAUAUUAAAAGAAGUCAGCAAUCAACAAUAAAUCUGCUUUUCUACAACACUCAAAAACAGAUUAGCAGAUGAGCCCCCAAUUGUUACAUCCUCCUUUAUAGAGGUAUUGUGGAGGCGUAACAAGAAGAAAUAAUUAAAAUAGUUUAGAGUAAUAUUAAAAAGGCGGUAAAAAGAACAAAGAAUACACUUAAGUCCUCAGCCCCUGAGUGAAAACUCCACAAGAUUCCUUAAGGAAAAGGUAAUGGUCAUUUAUUGAGUUGGAACGUAAAUUGUAACAAUGAACAGAAUUUUAAUCAGAGUGACUAACCUAUACACAAAACAAAGAUGAAAACCAACAACAUAAACUUCCCUCAGCUCCCUCUCUUACCAAUAACCAGGAGAAAAAGAUAUUUAAAAAUAAGGCACUCACUCUCUUCAAGAUGGUUGCUGUAUACAAGAGAUGGAGCUGAAUAAGUUAAUCUUCAGGCUAACUCAACAAACAGAAAGUUUCUAGCAUCUACACAAGUUAGGUGAGCUACUUACACACAGUGCCUUUUAGCUACCCACACGGGCUAGAUAAGCCGGUUAGCAACACACAGUCAGCACAUAGGAAUCAGUCGCCCUAGUUACCCUCACAAGGAUUUAACUAUUAGGAAGCACUCACAAUUGACAAUAAAUUCAUAAUACAACAGGGCUAGUAGCAUGGGCAGACACAAUAAGAUUCAGACAAGGGCUGGGGAGAAGUGAUCCUCCCUAGCAGCGACUGAAGGCUACAGUCAUACUGCUCCACUCAGUCUCAGGCAUGCUCACAACGAGUGGCAGCUGGGGGUAAUUAACCUGAGAGAAGAGAGCACAAAACAACAACAAGGUGCAAGACCUACAUUCACAAUAAAAAGGAAAUCAAACACCUUAGGACGUAACAAGUGUAUAGGUAAAUUAAGGAAGGGGGGUUAUCUAUAACAGAAUAUUGGUAGGGCACUCAAAUUUAUAUAGCACACUUAAAAUAACAGACAUCCCAAGUCUCCCGGAAGUCCCGGGAGUCUCCCGCAUAAUGAUAGCGGCUCCCUGAUGCCCGCGAAUUAGUUAAAAACUCCCGGAAUCUAGAGCGAGCGAGCAAAAGCGCAUGCGAGACAGAGACUGUGUUUCAAACCAUGUAGCGCGCGCACGGCAGAGAGGGAGAGGGAGCGAGAGACCUUGCGUGUGUGUGCUAGUGUGCGUGUGUGCGAAGCGUAUGUAAGACAGAGAGCAUCCUGAUUGGCCUGUUUCGGCAAAUCAACCAAUCAAUUGUCAGUGUGGGCGGGCUUUUAUCUCUUCUCCCG